GACGAACGCUGGCGGCGUGCUUAACACAUGCAAGUCGAACGGAAAGGCCCGGCUUUUGUGGGGGGCUCGAGUGGCGAACGUGUGAGUAACACGUGGGUAGCCUGCCCUUGACUGUGGGAUAACGUCAGUAAACUGUGGCUAAUACCGGAUAGGAGCUCCUGCGGCAUGGUGGGGGUUGGAAAGUUUCGGCGGUUGGGGUGGGGCUCGCGGCUUAUGAGCUUGUUGUUGGGGUAGUGGCUUACCACGGAGUUGACGGGUAGCAGGCCGGCGAGGGGGACCGGCAACAUUGCUACUGCGGAGAGACGCAGACUACUCCGGGAGGAAGCAGUGGUGAGUAUUGUACCAUAGGCGGAGGCAUGAUGACGCAACGCCGCGUGGGGGAUGACGGACUUCCGGUGGUAGUCCACUGUCGCUUGUGACGAAGCGUGAGUGACGGUAAUGGGUAAAGAAGCACCGGCUAACUCCGUG
rnacentral:rRNA from 1 species